CGGUCACUACAUAACAGCAAUACUUUCCAUCAGAAAUAAAUGUCACAGAAAAAUCAUAACACAAGGUGUACAUAAGAGUUGUACCAAUAGAAUCUAAAUUAUAUUAAAUUAGAAAAGCUUGAAAAUAAAAAUUAAACUAUUUCCUAACAAGAGAACAUAUUCUGCAGAAGACAAAUUAGCUUGAAGAGAUAAAAAAAAGAAUCUAAAACAAGCAUGGCUCCAUAUGCAAUCAGUAUGGGAGAAACAAUGCUCAGGUGGUUGAUGAAAGAAAAGAGUAUCCACGAGCAAUUGAGAUUCCCCUGUUCCCGCGAAGAGUAGGAACAAGGUAACUGGGACCAUAAGAACACACAUUCUGCAAAAGAUAAAUUGGCCUAAAGAGAGAAAAUGAAUCUUAAACAAUCAUGAUUUCGGUAUGCAAACAGAAUUGCAUAAUACUAAUGCUUAAAAACAACACUGAAUUGUGGAAACUUGAAUUAAAUGCAAUAAGAUGCAAUUAACCAAACAGCUGUAAAAAGAUAGAGAUCUCCUGAGGAGAUAUUUUGCUAGGAGCAAAUUCUGGCCAAACUCUGAAUAUGGCUUCGUCGUUUUAACAAAAGGAAUAGAAGAACAAGAUAAUGGAAAUAAUCAAAACAUAAAUAGAUCUUAAGCAACUAAGAAAGCAGAAAGUAAAGUAAUCAGACUACUGCGCUGUAAUGCAGAAACAACUUCAUCACAAGUUCAUCAUCAGUAAAAUGAGGAUAAGAUAAGGAAUGAAGUCAAUUUACGAUUUCAUUAAGUGAAGGCAUUUCCAAUUAUAGUCACCCAUGUACCAAAUGCCCCACAACUCAACAUUCUUCUGAAGCAA